UGGUGAUCCUCCACCUCCUCCACUGGUAAGGAAUUGGCAUUCCAUCUGUGGCCAUGAGGAUCCUUUACCAGCUCCUGGUUGUCCUCUUCAUGAUGCUCCAAGGGGCUGCAGGUAAGCCAUUCGAUCCUUGUGUAAUGCAAAAUGGACGCUGCUUCCCAGGGAUAUGUCGUCGACCCUAUUACUGGAUUGGAACAUGUCUGAAUGGAUAUUCUUGCUGCAGAAAG